CUGCAGCUAGUUAAGCAAACCAGCUUCUUUUCCCCAUGGCCUUGUAUGCAAUGACUUGAGUAGCUUCUUCCUCUGUAGUGUAUGGAGCCUUUUGCUAUGUCAUUUGCCCUAAUGCUUCAAAAGUGGACAUUUAUGUCUGAU